rnacentral:lncRNA from 1 species
CAAUAUACAACAAGUCCCUGGGUCGGCCAACGACGACCAAAAGAUUUUAGAUUCGGCCGAUCAGAUUCGGCAGCGAGCGAUUGCGGCCAUUAAUGCUCUCCUCGGGUGAAUCAUAGAAAACACUGAAUACUCUUUGUACAAACAUUUAAUGUUCUUUUGCCGUUGCCGUGCGAAUUCAAACUUGGACUAUCUUCUGUCACAGCUUUUCAUUUAAUAGUCCUUUACUCCGACGGGACGCAUUUUACCAACCGUUACCCUUCACCUUUUUCCUUCUAUAAGUAUAAGACCCCCC